rnacentral:pre_miRNA from 1 species
UGGCGGCCGUUGAGACGAGAUCUCCCCAUAGGCCCAUACCACAUAGCGGCAGCUCGGCUCCGUGCACGCGUAUGGGGAGAUCUCGCCUCAACAGCCGCUC